GACGAACGCUGGCGGCGUGCUUAAUACAUGCAAGUCGAGCGGUAAGGCCCUUUCGGGGGUACACGAGCGGCGAACGGGUGAGUAACACGUGGGUGACCUGCCCUCAGCUCUGGGAUAAGCCUGGGAAACUGGGUCUAAUACUGGAUAUGACUCCACGGUGCAUGUCGUGGGGUGGAAAGCCUUGUGCGGCUGAGGAUGGGCCCGCGGCCUAUCAGCUUGUUGGUGGGGAUGGCCUACCAAGGCGACGACGGGUAGCCGGCCUGAGAGGGCGACCGGCCACACUGGGACUGAGACACGGCCCAGACUCCUACGGGAGGCAGCAGUGGGGAAUCUUGCGCAAUGGGCGAAAGCCUGACGCAGCGACGCCGCGUGAGGGAUGACGGCCUGG
rnacentral:rRNA from 1 species